AGACGGAGGGGGCAAGCGUUGUCCGGAAUUACUGGGCGUAAAGAGCGCGUAGGCGGUCGCGUACGGCGGUGGUGAAAGCUCCCGGCUCAACUGGGAGAGGCCCGCCGCAACGGCGUGACUCGAGGGUGGUAGAGGCGGAUGGAAUUCCCGGUGUAACGGUGAAAUGUGUAGAGAUCGGGAGGAACACCCGUGGCGAAGGCGGUCCGCUGGGCCAUGCCUGACGCUGAGGCGCGAAAGCCAGGGGAGUGAACGGGAUUAGAUACCCCGGUAAUCCUGGCCGUAAACGAUGGUCACUAGGUGUCUGUGGUAUCGACCCCAUGGGUGCCGGAGCUAACGCGUGAAGUGACCCGCCUGGGGAGUACGGCCGCAAGGUUGAA
rnacentral:rRNA from 1 species